UACGGAGGGUGUGAGCGUUGUCCGGAAUCACUGGGCGUAAAGGGCGCGUAGGCGGCGCGGGAAGUCAUCGGUGAAAGUUCAGGGCUCAACUCUGAAUCGGCCGGUGAUACUCUCGUGCUCGAGCACUGUAGAGGCAGGUGGAAUUCCGGGUGUAGCGGUGGAAUGCGUAGAGAUCCGGAAGAACACCGGUGGCGAAGGCGGCCUGCUGGGCAGUAGCUGACGCUGAUGCGCGACAGCGUGGGGAGCAAACAGG
rnacentral:rRNA from 1 species